rnacentral:rRNA from 1 species
GAUGCACGCUGGCGGCGUGCCUAAUACAUGCAAGUCGAGCGAACAGACGAGGAGCUUGCUCCUCUGACGUUAGCGGCGGACGGGUGAGUAACACGUGGAUAACCUACCUAUAAGACUGGGAUAACUUCGGGAAACCGGAGCUAAUACCGGAUAAUAUAUUGAACCGCAUGGUUCAAUAGUGAAAGACGGUUUUGCUGUCACUUAUAGAUGGAUCCGCGCCGCAUUAGCUAGUUGGUAAGGUAACGGCUUACCAAGGCAACGAUGCGUAGCCGACCUGAGAGGGUGAUCGGCCACACUGGAACUGAGACACGGUCCAGACUCCUACGGGAGGCAGCAGUAGGGAAUCUUCCGCAAUGGGCGAAAGCCUGACGGAGCAACGCCGCGUGAGUGAUGAAGGUCUUCGGAUCGUAAAACUCUGUUAUUAUGGAAGAACAAAUGUGUAAGUAACUAUGCACGUCUUGACGGUACCUAAUCAGAAAGCCACGGCUAACUACGUG